AUGAUUUCACACGUCUUUUUGUUUCUGUCCUCCAGAGCUGGAGACGUAGACUGGUAGUCAAAGAGUUUCAGGAAAAGUCUCACAGACUUGAAAACGAAGGAAAAUAAACUGAGUUUCUGCACAACUGAGAUGGUUCAUCUGUGGGAGUGAGUGGAAAAGGUUUGGAUGAGCAGAUUCCAUGGUUUCUGCAGCUGCAGUGCAGUCGCCCAGUCAGGAUAUAAAGCUGAAGGAAAUGAAUCAGGGCCGGGUAAUGACAGCAGUGAUAAAAUAUAGCUGAAGUCCUACAGUUGUUCUGGCUUCAUGGUAAACUACUGCACCAUUCUUCUGGUGUUAACCUGCUCAGAAGAGGUUUUUAUUCUCAUUUCAUAUAUUUUUUAUGUAAAACUGUUGAAAUGUUACGUUAUUACAUGGCUUUAUAAUAAAACAGUUAA